rnacentral:rRNA from 1 species
GCAAGUCGAACGCAGUAGCAAUACUGAGUGGCAAACGGGUGAGUAUAAUGUGGGAAUCUGCCUUUUGGUUUGGAAUAACACGGGGAAACUUGUGCUAAUACCGGACAAGCCCUUACGGGGAAAGUUUUAACGCCGAAAGAUGAGCCUGCACUUGAUUAGCUAGUUGGUAAGGUAAAAGCUUACCAAGGCAACGAUCAAUAGCUGUUCUUAGAGGAAGACCAGCCACAUUGGGAUUGAGACACGGCCCAGACUCCUACGGGAGGCAGCAGUGGGGAAUCUUGCACAAUGGGGGAAACCCUGAUGCAGCGAUGCCGCGUGAGUGAAGAAGGCCCUUGGGUUGUAAAACUCUUUCGUCGGGGAAGAAAAUGACUGUACCCGAAUAAGAAGGUCCGGCUAACUUCGUGCCAGCAGCCGCGGUAAUACGAAGGGACCUAGCGUAGUUCGGAAUUACUGGGCUUAAAGAGCUCGUAGGUGGUUAAAAAAGUUGAUGGUGAAAUCCCAAGGCUCAACCUUGGAACUGCCAUCAAAACUUUUUAGCUAGAGUGUGAUAGAGGUAAGUGGAAUUUCUAGUGUAGAGGUGAAAUUCGUAGAUAUUAGAAAGAACACCAAAAGCGAAGGCAACUUACUGGGUCACUACUGACACUGAGGAGCGAAAGCAUGGGUAGCGAAGAGGAUUAGAUACCCUCGUAGUCCAUGCCGUAAACGAUGUGUGCUAGACGUUGGAAAUAUAUUUUUCAGUGUCGCAGCGAAAGCAUUAAGCACACCGCCUGGGGAGUACGACCGCAAGGUUAAAACUCAAAUGAAUUGACGGGGACCCGCACAAGCAGUGGAGCAUGUGGUUUAAUUCGA